rnacentral:lncRNA from 1 species
GCUUUUGUGCUGCUGUUUUACUUCUGUAUUGUGGGUCAUUUUUAUUUUCAUUUUUAAAGUGGAGUUCAAAUUUCUAGGUCCAGUGGACUGAAUUCUGUCAUUUUCCUUGUAUUAACUCCUUUUUUUUUCAUUCUCACUAUAAUACUUCUACUUGGACAACUUAGGGGGAGUACCCUUCGUGGAUAUAUAUAACAGCACAGUGGUCUUCGGAGACUGAUUAGCUGUUGUUUUGGUGUUAUUCUCUGAUGCUUAUGAUGAUCUAUACAUUGCUUAAGUAUCCUAUAAUGUUAAGCUGCUGUUGCUUACAAAUAUGUGAUUUGUUGGUUAAUUCUGAUUUUAUUCAGGUUUUUUAAAGACAGAAUUACUCAGCUAGUCCAGAGUAAAUAUUUGCACAUGCUUAGGUGGAAGAGAUUUUGUACACACAGCAGCAUUGUUGAACAGUUUCAUCCUCUCUAUCAGGUAGGAACCAAAAGCUAGGAUCUAGCACAUAUAUAUCUAGCACAGUAGCCAUUUAUGAAAAACAAAGUGUUAGCAAUGGCACUUUUUUUCCAUUCUAAUAAAAGCUAUUUACCUUAAGUCAGUUUGUCUAGAAUUUGUCUCUGGGCAUUCACUCUCAGCGAUCUGCUAAUGGUCACUAAGAGCUGCUCAGAGAGACUCACUAUUUGAACUGAAAUUCGCUUUUCCUCAUUGGGUUGGGAUUCGCAGCCUUUAGGAAGGAAAUAAGCCUCUGAAAUUACUCUCAAACUAGGAUUCCUUACACGAUAGAAAUGCAAUGGCCUUCUAGCUAUUAGGAGAAGAUACAGAAAUGUGAAAAUGACAACAUCUCUUUUAUAUACAUAAACAGAAGCAAAUUAGUCACAUCAUGGAAGAGUAAAACGAUGCAGCCCGGUGGCAAGGAAAAGUUUCCUGGCAGGAAAGAAAAAUCCGGUGAAUGCAGUGACACGGGAAGGUCGGAUGAUUUGCACUUGGUGGUUCGUGUGUCACCUAUGCUCUCUGGAGGGUGUUCACCAUUUUCUCUGGGUUCUCCAGCAGUUGCCUAUUUCCCACAGAAUAAAUGUGGCUGAUGAGAAAUGUCCUUAUGUGGUCCAAGACAACUGCGUCAAAUUAAGAAAUGCUUUUGACAGAAAUUCAGGUAUUUUUAAUAUUGAUGUGUUUCCCUGUUCAAGAGUUUUAAGAAGAAAUGGUGAGAAAUUAUCCGGUUUCCUUUAAAACCACAAGUUCUACAGAUAAUGC